UGAGGAAUAUUGGUCAAUGGGCGAGAGCCUGAACCAGCCAAGUAGCGUGCAGGACGACGGCCCUAUGGGUUGUAAACUGCUUUUAUGUGGGGAUAAAGUGCGUGACGUGUCAUGCAUUGCAGGUACCACAUGACUAAGGACCGGCUAAUUCCGUGCCAGCAGCCGCGGUAAUACGGAAGGUCCGGGCGUUAUCCGGAUUUAUUGGGUUUAAAGGGAGCGUAGGCUGUCUAUUAAGCGUGUUGUGAAAUUUACCGGCUCAACCGGUGGCUUGCAGCGCGAACUGGUCGACUUGAGUAUGCAGGAAGUAGGCGGAAUUCAUGGUGUAGCGGUGAAAUGCUUAGAUAUCAUGACGAACUCCGAUUGCGCAGGCAGCUUACUGUAGCAUAACUGACGCUGAUGCUCGAAAGUGCGGGUAUCAAACAGG
rnacentral:rRNA from 1 species